rnacentral:rRNA from 1 species
AGAUUGAACGCUGGCGGCAUGCCUUACACAUGCAAGUCGAACGGCAGCACGGGAGCAAUCCUGGUGGCGAGUGGCGAACGGGUGAGUAAUAUAUCGGAACGUGCCCAGUCGUGGGGGAUAACGCAGCGAAAGCUGUGCUAAUACCGCAUACGAUCUAUGGAUGAAAGCGGGGGAUCGCAAGACCUCGCGCGAUUGGAGCGGCCGAUAUCAGAUUAGCUAGUUGGUAGGGUAAAGCCUACAAGGCGACGAUCUGUAGCUGGUCUGAGAGGACGACCAGCCACACUGGAACUGAGACACGGUCCAGACUCCUACGGGAGCAG